CAACAGUUAAUAACUGGGUUAAUUAAAUAUCUGCACAGGCUGUCAGCAUUACCUUUGGGGAAAUGCUGCCAAAAAAAAGCUAAUUAAUGGAAUAUUGUUGAUUGUUGGAGCCAUUUCUGAAGAUGUUAGACUCCUGGACUGAUCUGAAGCAGGGAAACUAAUGGCCACAAAGAUUAAGGACAAAAACCUCUAACCGGUAGAUCGCCGCAUUAAUCUGAGCUGCUGCGUGACACCAGAGGAGGAAUCUCAAAGACAAAGUGGGCUGAGCUGUUUCUACAACCUUUAUGUCGUCCCGCCAGGAUGGAGAAACAGGUUUGGCAGAUCUGUGCAGUUUGUAAAGCCACAAAGCAAGUCUUGCCCUCCUCUGGCUGCAGAGCAUUCUGGUGUUUUGAAGGCGUCUUGUGGGCGUACAAAUUGGUCUCAGCAGAUUUCUGUUGAACUGUUGAACGCCGGAGCGAAACAGCAGCUAAAGAAAGACACGCUGAUUCCGAAACACCGACAGCGAAACCUACAGGAGCGGAAACUGAGGACAAACGGCAUCUGCUGUUGAAAGGCGCUGAGCUCCUUCUUUUCCUUCAUGUAACAGCAGCCACACCUCCAUCACAGCAGCAGCAGCAGCGACUCUCCACACCCCGCCUCGUCCUGCAAGCUCAGCACGCCGCCUCGCCCACCCCGAGGCAUGCUGGGAGUUCACACAGCAACACUACAGAGGGGAAGGCAAGCAGGUUCUGUCUGCCGGAGACUCUGCUAAUACAAAGACCAGAACCUGAUCUCAUUCAGUCGGUUAUGAAACGGCGACCUUCACUCCUCGAGCUGCUCCGCUCUCCUGUUUGACCUUCAGCUCUUCAGUGUGAAACACGAAGCUCAAGGUCGUUUCAAAGACAGUCAGGGAUGCAGACAAGAGAACCACUUCACAGAUGACACACUUAUAACCUGACUACAGAUGGAACUUUGCAUCUUUUUCGAUACAAACUGCUUCUUCUGUGCGAUUAAAAUGAGUUCAGUCGAUCAAUCGAGAGCAAGUUAAACGUCAUUUCAUCAUUUUCCAAGCAAAAAUAUCAAACAUUCACUACUUCCAAUUUCUCAAAUAUCACAAUUUAUGUACUUCCUUCACAUAUUGUGAGAAAUUAACCUUUGUAAAACUGUACUGCUAUAGCAUCAGUAGAGUUUUGGUCAGUUUUGGCAUUAACAGCCUGAGUUUCACUGUAAAACUGCACAUUGUUAGAUUUUUUGAGUGAAUUUUUCACGACUGCACACAUAAUUGAUUUUAUUCUUAUAUUUGACUGUUUUAAGCCAAACCCCCCCCCCAAAAAAACACAAUAUUAGGAUUUUCUCUGUUUCUACCAUAAUUAUAUUCCUCAAUAUGUGGAAAUGACUUUAGAUAAUUUAGACAAUCCAGCAAGUAGACAACAUUAAUAUGAAAUACAUGAAAAAUGAACCUUUGUAAAACAAUACUGCCAUAUCCUCUGUAUAUUUUCAGUAAAUUUAGGCUUUAACAACCUGAAUUUUCACUGUAAAACUGCACAUAUAAUUAGAUUUUACUCUCAGAUUUGACUAUUUUUAUUCACAACUGCACACACGAUGGGUUUUAUUCUUGCAUCUACCUGUUUUAAGCCAAAAGAAAUAAAAUUCAAUAUGUGGAUUUUUUUGUGUCUCUAUCAGAAUUAUAUAUCCCUGGAUAUGUAGAAAUGACUUUAAAAUAUAAUUU